rfam:Otolemur garnettii contig053722, whole genome shotgun sequence.
UGCCCUGUGGCUCAAAGGAGUAGGGCAUCAGCCUCAUAUGCUGGAGGUGGCGGGUUCAAACCCAGCCCGGCCAA